GCCAGCAGCCAUAUCACCCCACAACUCACAACUGGUAACCCACUGAUACUAAGCAGGUGUGAGCCUGGUCAGUACCUGGAUGGGAGACCUCCUGGGGAAAAACUAAGGUUGCUGCUGAAA
rnacentral:rRNA from 1 species